AAAUAAAUAAAUAAAUAAAUAAUUAUUUUUAAAACAGUCCAUAUAACAGUCCAUUUACAUUGACCCACCAACCCGUAAACCCAAAACCAAUUGGCCUAAACCUUAUGCCCGGUUACAACUCAGCAGACCUAAACCCGUUACAUUACUGGCCCAUUUCUAAAAUCCUACUCCCGGUACCCAUUACACCCUACCUAGCCCAGAACUAAAGUGGCCCAAUUGACCCAAACUCUCAGUGGCCCAAAAUUUAGAAGCAUUCGGCUAGGGUUAGAAACCCUAGCCCUCUCCUCGUGCCGCAAGGAAUUUCUAGAAGCUUCGGGCACUUCAAAAGACGUGGCCUUUCAUCUCAAUCGUCACCACCAAGUAUGCCGUGAUUUCUCAACUCUGCCGUCAUAUAUCACGCCACCAUCGACGCGCAAGACACGCCAGAAUCCGACGUUGGCUCCAUCAGCGCGCAGACAUCAGUGAUCGAGCGAGAUUCUCGUGGAUUACCUGCGAACAAAAGAGGAAACAAAGACAGAAAACCAAGGCAAAUAUGGAAAGAAAUCAAAGAUUUCUUUCCUAAAACAUAAUAGCUUAAGGCUAUAAAACCUUUCUGUAAAAGGAGAUAAAAGGAAAGGAGAAGGAGAGAUACAAAGAUAAAAAAAACACAGUCAUAAGGAAAAAUACACCACAAAAAGAUAUUGUACAUUGAGUAUUUUUUGAAUAAUAUACCAGAAGGAUUUGGAGAGAAACGAAGGUGACUCAUUACUUUUUUUCUGUUUUUACUUCAUUUUUUUAUUGCAAACAAUCGAUAUAUAAUAUAUUAAACAGAAAGAAGAAGAAAAUACCUUGAGAAUCGCCCUGAAAAGCGAAGCAAUUCAGCAAUCAUGGUGCUCAGUAAUCGUUUUUUCGGAGACCUAUGCCUUUUCAGGUUGGUGCUUGGAGGAGCUUGCGGAGAUUGUUAAACAAAAAAAUGACAAGGGUCAUAAAGUAUUUCCAAUUUUCUACCAUGUGGAUCCCUCUGAUUUAAGAAAACAAAAAGGAAAAGUUGAAGAAGCCUUCGCCAAACAUGAAGAAAGAUACAAAGAAAAUAAAGACAAGAUCCAAAAGUGGCGAAAUGCUUUGACUGAAGUGGCUAACAUCAAGGGAUGGGAUUUACAUAAUAGGUAUUUCUUUC
rnacentral:lncRNA from 1 species